rnacentral:rRNA from 1 species
CCCUUAGAUGUUCUGGGCCACACGCGCGUUACACUGAUGAAGCCAGCGAGUAUAUCGCCUUCACCGGAAGGUGCGGGUAAUCUUGUGAAACUUCAUCGUGCUGGGGAUAGACCAUUGCAAUUAUUGGUCUUGAACAAGGAAUUCCUAGUAAGCAUGAGUCAUCAACUCGUGCUGAUUACGUCCCUGCCCUUUGUACACACCGCCCGUCGCUACUACCGAUUGAAUGGUUUAGUGAGAUCUCGGGAUUGGAGACGUUGCGCCGCAAGGCACAUCGUCCUCGAGAACUUGAUCAAACUUGAUCAUUUAGAGGAAGUAAAAGUCGUAACA